rnacentral:rRNA from 1 species
AGUCGAACGGCAGCACGGGAGCAAUCCUGGUGGCGAGUGGCGAACGGGUGAGUAAUACAUCGGAACGUGUCCUGGAGUGGGGGAUAGCCCGGCGAAAGCCGGAUUAAUACCGCAUACGCUCUGAGGAGGAAAGGGGGGGAUCUUACGACCUCUCGCUCCAGGGGCGGCCGAUGGCAGAUUAGCUAGUUGGUGGGGUAAAGGCCUACCAAGGCGACGAUCUGUAGCUGGUCUGAGAGGACGACCAGCCACACUGGGACUGAGACACGGCCCACACUCCUACGGGAGGCAGCAGUGGGGAAUUUUGGACAAUGGGCGCAAGCCUGAUCCAGCAAUGCCGCGUGUGUGAAGAAGGCCUUCGGGUUGUAAAGCACUUUUGUCCGGAAAGAAAACUUCUCGGUUAAUACCCGUGGAGGAUGACGGUACCGGAAGAAUAAGCACCGGCUAACUACGUGCCACCAGCCGCGGUAAUACGUAUGGUGCGAGCGUUAAUCGCAAUUACUGGGCGUAAAGCGUGCGCAGGCGGUCCGCUAAGACAGAUGUGAAAUCCCCGGGCUUAACCUGGGAACUGCAUUUGUGACUGGCGGGCUAGAGUAUGGCAGAGGGGGGUAGAAUUCCACGUGUAGCAGUGAAAUGCGUAGAGAUGUGGAGGAAUACCGAUGGCGAAGGCAGCCCCCUGGGCCAAUACUGACGCUCAUGCACGAAAGCGUGGGGAGCAAACAGGAUUAGAUACCCUGGUAGUCCACGCCCUAAACGAUGUCAACUAGUUGUCGGGUCUUCAUUGACUUGGUAACGUAGCUCACGCGUGAAGUUGACCGCCUGGGGAGUACGGUCGCAAGAUUAAAACUCAAAGGAAUUGACGGGGACCCGCACAAGCGGUGGAUGAUGUGGAUUAAUUCGAUGCAACGCGAAAAACCUUACCUACCCUUGACAUGUAUGGAAUCCUGCUCAGAGGUGGGAGUGCCCCAAAGGGAGCCAUAACACAGGUGCUGCAUGGCUGUCGUCAGCUC